GACGAACGCUGGCGGCGUGCUUAACACAUGCAAGUCGAACGGAAAGGCCCUGCUUUUGUGGGGUGCUCGAGUGGCGAACGGGUGAGUAACACGUGAGUAACCUGCCCUUGACUUUGGGAUAACUUCAGGAAACUGGGGCUAAUACCGGAUAGGAGCUCCUGCUGCAUGGUGGGGGUUGGAAAGUUUCGGCGGUUGGGGAUGGACUCGCGGCUUAUCAGCUUGUUGGUGGGGUAGUGGCUUACCAAGGCUUUGACGGGUAGCCGGCCUGAGAGGGGGACCGGCCACAUUGGGACUGAGAUACGGCCCAGCCUCCUACGGGAGGCAGCAGUGGGGUAUGGUGCACAAGGGGCGGAAGCCUGAUGCAGCAACGCCGCGUGCGGGAUGACGGCCUUCGGGUUGUAAACCGCUUUCGCCUGUGACGAAGCGUGAGUGACGGUAAUGGGUAAAGAAGCACCGGCUAACUACGUG
rnacentral:rRNA from 1 species